GUUGCUUAUAUCAUUACAGUAGAAGGAAAACCAUAUUUUGUCCAUCUCAAAAAGCAAUCAUUUUUAUCUUCAGCUUUUGUUGUUUAUUAUGACAAAGAUGACCACCAACAUUCUCAACCUUUGUUAGAUCAGAUGGAUUGCAGUUAUCAUGGAUAUGUUGCAGGUUUUCCAAAUUCUCUUGUGUCACUCAACACUUGUUCAGGACUCAGGUUGUAGCCUAUUUAAAACUAAUUCAAUUAGUCAGUAUUUGGUCUUUCUAGUCUAUAAGUUGAUCCUCCAUGUGUCUUUUCUGUCACCUCUGUUGUUUCAGUUUUCUAAGGAGUGAAGUAGAAUUGCUGAUUAAGUUGGUCCAGAAUGCGUUCCAGAUGGGAGGCUGCUUGUUGAUUCUAACAAGAGGCUUUGAACAGUCUUGAGUGUAGGGGGUAUUGAUUGGAUGUCUCCAUACUUCUUUAGUUUUUCCAAAUUCUUUAUGUUUUUAUUACUGGGAAAAGGGGAAUAAGAGUUACCUCAGUUCUUAGUUACCCCCCAAAAAAGAAUCUUUAACAAGAGAUAGAAAGCAUGAUAUGAACAAGAUUUUAUUAGUAAAGAA